CCGGACAAAGUAGAACGAUUCUGAUUCUAGUUCUUUCUACAGUCCCUUGUGAUUUCCCUGUUUGAGAGACAGAGAGAAUGAAGCAGACAUCGAAAGAUCCGUUCGAGGCGGCGUUUGAGGAGGAAGAGGAUGAUUCCGCCGCAGUAGCUGUCGAUGCACAACAACAAGACCCCGACGACGACGAAGACUACGAUGGUCUGGGUACGGGUUCGGGUACUGGUACGGGUAUUCAAUCCUCUGCCGCUGACCCUUCCGUUUCUGCUUCCACGUCCGCACCAGCAUCGACCGCUACGACAGCAGCAGUCUCCGCCGCUAAAUCCAAUGCAAAGAACAAAUACGACGAUCAGGAGGAAGAGGAUGAGGACAACAUGGAUGUUGAGCUCUCCAAGUUACCCUCCACUGCCGACCCUGCUAAAAUGGCCAAGAUGCAGGCUAUUUUGUCACAAUUCACUGAGCAACAGAUGAGUAGGUACGAGUCCUUUAGGAGAGCUGGAUUUCAGAAAUCUAACAUGAAAAGGUUGCUAGCAAGCAUCACAGGAACCCCAAAAAUUUCUGUGCCAAUGACAAUUGUAGUGUCAGGGAUAGCAAAAAUGUUUGUUGGAGAACUUGUCGAAACAGCUAGAAUGGUUAUGACGGAGAGGAAAGAAUCUGGGCCAAUCAGGCCUUGCCAUAUCAGAGAAGCAUAUAGAAGAUUAAAACUUGAAGGCAAAGUACCAAAGAGAUCAGUUCCAAGGCUCUUUCGGUAGAUUGGCAGAGACGUUGUUAUGGCUGAUUGCACAGGUUUCAAGGUCAGCCUUGUUUUGAAGAACCAUAAAUUCAUAAUCCAAAAGAUGAGAAUUUCCACUCCUGGUCAUUUCCAUAACAAGGAAAAAAAAAAUAGAGAAAGCAGCUAUGUUCCAUACAUUAAAUGUUCGUUCAUUGUAAAUCAGGCAUGCACGUCAAUGGCGUUCAGGAACAUAUCUCCCAAAAUGCAGAACAUGCACAGGUCGUAUCAACAGUCUAAUUUACUUCUGCUUCAAUAUUGUAUAAUAACUAUUCGUGAGUCUAGACAUUUUUCCCUAUUUUUUAUUUUCCACUUGGAAGUCAUGACGCUAGAUAAGUUUAUACUAUAUAUUCCCCACGGAUGCGCCAUGAGGCCAGUGGAUGUCAUUGUGCCAUGUUGUUUUUUUGUCUAGUAUUAUUCUAAGUAGAGUGGAUAUAAUGGUGCCAUAUAAGCCACAUGUUUCAUUAUUUUCUAGGGCUUUA